rnacentral:tRNA from 1 species
GUGGCCGUAGCUCAAAGGUAGAGCACCAGACUGUGGCUCUGGGGGCUGCGGGUUCGAGUCCCGUCGGCCACCCCA